GUAUAGUGAUGAAAUCCAUGCGUGUCAUAUGACUCUGUUACUCCUGGUGUGUUGUUGGUCUUGUCGGCGUUCUGCAGACUCUAAUCCUCAAGGCAGCAGGGAUUCAGAGACAUGAUCACACUUAACUUCUGAAUAC